rnacentral:rRNA from 1 species
CACACCGCCCGUCGCUCCUACCGAUUGAAUGGUCCGGUGAAGUGUUCGGAUUGCGGCGACGUGGGCGGUUCGCUGCCCGCGACGUGGUGAAAAGUCUACUGAACCUUAUCAUUUAGAGGAAGGAGAAGUCGUAACAAGGUUUCCGUAGGUGAACCUGCGGAAGGAUCAUU